GGAUUUAUAAUGAUCUGUGUUUACUGAGCAUGAUGAAGUAAAGUUCAACAUGAUUACUCUGAAGUCU
ensembl:snoRNA